GGCGAGUUAGCUCAGCCGGAGAGCGCGUGCUUAGCAUGCAUGGGGUCCUGGGUUCCAUCUCCAGAACCUUCA
rnacentral:tRNA from 1 species